UACGUAGGGGGCUAGCGUUGUCCGGAUUUAUUGGGCGUAAAGAGCGUGUAGGCGGCCAGGUAGGUCUGCUGUGAAAACUCGAGGCUCAACCUCGAGACGUCGGCGGAAACCAUCUGGCUAGAGUCCGGAAGAGGAGAGUGGAAUUCCUGGUGUAGCGGUGAAAUGCGCAGAUAUCAGGAAGAACACCCGUGGCGAAGGCGGCUCUCUGGGACGGUACUGACGCUG
rnacentral:rRNA from 1 species